rnacentral:rRNA from 1 species
UACGUAGGGUGCAAGCGUUGUCCGGAUUUAUUGGGCGUAAAGAGCUCGUAGGCGGUCUGUCGCGUCGGAUGUGAAAACCCAGGGCUCAACCCUGGGCCUGCAUUCGAUACGGGCAGACUAGAGUGUGGCAGGGGAGACUGGAAUUCCUGGUGUAGCGGUGAAAUGCGCAGAUAUCAGGAGGAACACCGGUGGCGAAGGCGGGUCUCUGGGCCAAUAUUGACGCUGAGGUGCGAAAGCGUGGGGAGCAAACAGG